rnacentral:rRNA from 1 species
UACAGAGGUCUCAAGCGUUUGUUCGGAUUCAUUGGGCGUAAAGGGUGUGUAGGUGGCGCCGUAAGUCGGGUGUGAAAUUUCGGAGCUUAACUCCGAAACUGCAUUCGAUACUGCGGUGCUUGAGGACUGGAGAGGAGACUGGAAUUCAUGGUGUAGCAGUGAAAUGCGUAGAGAUCAUGAGGAAGACCAGUGGCGAAGGCGGGUCUCUGGACAGUUCCUGACACUGAGACACGAAGGCCAGGGGAGCAAACAGG